rnacentral:rRNA from 1 species
UACGGGGGGGGUAAGCGUUGUUCGGAAUUACUGGGCGUAAAGGGCUCGUAGGCGGCCAACUAAGUCAUACGUGAAAUCCCUCAGCUUAACUGGGGAACUGCGUGUGAUACUGGAUGGCUUGGAUUUGGGAGAGGGAUGCGGAAUUCCAGGUGUAGCGGUGAAAUGCGUAGAUAUCAGGAGGAACACCAAUAGCGAAGGCAGCUCGCUGGGACGUUACUGACACUGAGGCGCGAAAGCGUGGGGAGCGAACAGG